AUUGAACGCUGGCGGCAUGCCUUACACAUGCAAGUCGAGCGGCAGCGCGGGGGCAACCCUGGCGGCGAGCGGCGAACGGGUGAGUAAUGCAUCGGAACGUGUCCUUUUGUGGGGGAUAACCAGUCGAAAGACUGGCUAAUACCGCAUGAGCUCGAGAGAGGAAAGCAGGGGACCCGAGGGUAACUUCGGGCCUUGCGCGAGAGGAGCGGCCGAUGCCCGANAGCUAGUUGGUGAGGUAACGGCUCACCAAGGCGACGAUCGGUAGCUGGUUUGAGAGAACGACCAGCCACACUGGGACUGAGACACGGCCCAGACUCCUACGGGAGGCAGCAGUGGGAAUUUUGGACAAUGGGCGCAAGCCUGAUCCAGCCAUGCCGCGUGUGUGAAGAAGG
rnacentral:rRNA from 1 species